UCAUUAUAAAUUAGCCCAUCUGGAGCAUUUUGUUAUAGCAGCACAAAAUGAACUAAGACAGUACCCUUGACUGCAUAUAGAAGCUAAGAUUCUGCAGAAACAAAUUCAGGGAAAGCACAAGAGCAUUCUGGUUAAUCUACCGUCUACAAGACAACUUUCCAGCUGCCAGCUAAGUCACCCUUUGGUUCUGUUAUGUGUUUGAGAACAGAAAGUACGAGGUCUGGAAAUGAAGUUAAUGAACUUGCCACCAUGCAUUUACAUCAGCAGCACUGUACAAGCAACUCGGUGAAGAUCAAGAAGAGGAAGGCAAAGAUGACAUGACAGUGAUGAGACGUCGCCUGCUCUCAGUAUACCCAUGAAAGCCAAGCCUCUUGCUCAAAUUGAUCUCUCAAAUUGACACCAGGAAAG